ensembl:lncRNA
UAAGAUUCUGAUUGCAAUGAAUAACUGCUGAGGUUAUUUUCCCACUUUGAGAUUCUGAAAUUCUUCUACAAUAUUGUUUUUCAACUAGUAGCUCAAUUUGAUUUGAUUCUGGUUUGAUAGCUCAGAUCGAAUCAAGUGGAAAGUUGCAGAAGAAACUAUUUUGAUUGACAGUUUGGAGUUACAGUUUUUCUUUCUUUCAGCUGCUUCUCCCUAUAGAGUUUGGGAGUGUCUGAGUAUAACAUUUGUUCUGUGUUUAUGAAGACAGAGAGAAAAGGGAUGUGAGGAAAAACAUCUUUCAAGUUAGCACUAUCAUAUCAUAUUGUAAAGAAACACUGGAAAGAGAAUUCCAUGAAAAAAUGAGUCCAGUCAAGACACUGUAUUCUUAUUAUGGCUGGAAUGAAGCUGGAGAAAACAAAAAGGAGAUGAAGAAUUCUUUCUUUCUGUUGAUUCUGGGACUCAGUAAAAUAACAAACAGCUGAAUAUAAGCAGACUACUUUAAGAGUGAACUUAAAAGAAGACCCAAUGUAAGUGAAAAUUUAAACAAUCCUCUAAUAAAGAUCAUUAGCAAAGUUUUAGUACAAUACUCUAUUUUUUAGGAUUCUUGUAAAUGGCUUGCAUUUUCAUUGUGGCAGAAAAAAAAGGAGUUUGUACAUACUGUACACAAAGAGACAGCAGAUAUUUAUAGGUACAGUAUUUUUUUUUUUUUUUUUUUGUACUUGCAUGAAUAUUUACAGAAGGCUGAGUCUGGAACUCAGCGAGGUUUGUGAAAUUUGUGUGCUUCAUCCUUAGACCUACACACUUCUGUAAUCAUCAUUUAAUGUGGUAUUUUUAAAUGUUACUUUAAACACUUGGUUGUAGGAGAAAAUAUUAACCAUAAGGCUUGGUAUACUUUAUAAAUACACCUAAACAAUUCCGAAAAACAAUGUUGCAAUCAAGUCAAUUAUUAUUAUAAUUACUUAACCUUUAUUAAAUGCCGACAAUGUGCUGGGCAUUUUAGAGAACAUAGAAAAGAUAAGAUUCCCUGCUCUUAAGCAGCCUAUGAUGUUAAAUGGAGUAAAAAAGGCCUGUAUCUCCUUUUUAAGCUAAAGCAAGAAGGAAUGGCCUCAUGAUUUGUAUUAAAAUGUUGUGUUAUUUUUCCACUAGCCUCUAGCCAAUUGAGUUUUGAAAGGUAAUUAUUAUUAGCAUUCUAGAGAUCAUGAAACCUGCCCACCAUGUGCAAUUGCAUUUAUAUUUAUGAUAACAACAAAUCUUCCGUAAAAAUGGAAAAUGUCUGGGAUUGCGGGUACAAAUGCAAUGCAUGGAAGCCAGGAUCAUGACAUUAGAAUUUAUCACCUUCAGUUACAAAAAGUGCAGUAAACAGAAACAUUUCAUAUAGGUUUAUAAAUUGCUCAAAAAUCUUUGCUAAAGAUCUUAUAAAUUCAGUAAUAUCACAGAACAAUUCUAAUAAAUAUUUAAUAAGGUUUAACUACAUCCUUAGUUAGAUAUUUGAUAUAUUUCUUUCAAGAAUGAACCUGCCAAGGGUUUGGAAGAAUUAUUAGCUCCUCGUCCAAUUGCUAAUUCAAAAUGAACAUUACAUAAUUGACUGAUAACACAAAUUUCAUAUCCAAGUUAAACAUAUCCAAAUGUGAGACCCACACAUUUACUAGAUGACAAACAUAUCCAUCUACCAGUAACUUUUUGUUUGGAAGGUUUGUUCUACCAUCAAGCUACCAACAAUGUUUUCUAAAAUGUCUCUUUUUUUGUAAUUGGUGCGCUAAGUGCACCAGGUGCCAAAUAUAAUUUAUUAUUUAAAAAAAAAAAAAACAAACCUAAAAAUGUAUUGCUUUUGAAACUAGAGUGAGCCUUUAGGUCUUGAAGUUACAGGAAAUUAUUUUUCAUCUUAAGAAAUAUAAUAUUACAAAGCCAGGUUAUAAAACAAAUAAAAAAAAAAGGUGCUAAAUUUUCACAAUCCAUAUUUAUAAGAAAAUUCACUCUAUUGAUGCCAAAUAUCAAUACUAAGGAAGUAAUUUUAUCCCAAUUAAAUACACUGUAGAAUAAUUUAUAUAAUGAUACUAUGUAUUUAAAGAGAAAAGCAUGUCCCAAAUCUAGCACUCUGAUACAGGUACCAGUUGGGUACAGGUAGAUAUAUAGAUAUAUAUAUAUAUGCUAUAUAUAUAUAUAUAUAUGUAUAUAUAUACAAAUAUAUAUAGUUAUACUCAGUGAAAUUAACAAGACCCAAAGGUGGUAUUGUCUAGGAAUAAAAGGGAUUUUUGUUCACAAAAGUAACUUAUCUAGCACCACACAUCAGAAAAACACAAAAAUAGCACACUCUAGUUCUAAACAGCUAUGUCUAAAAUAGAUUAUAUAGUAAAACAGGUAUUAUACAGAAUAAUGUGGUAUUUGAUAAACAGAUAAAUAUUUGCACUGAGUAGGCUGUUUAUAAUAUAACAUUUUCUUAUCUAUACAGAAUGAAAGCCAAAAAGUUAACUGUAUAGAGGUGAGCAGAACAACAUUAAAUAUCAUGACUCAAAAGCAGAGACAAAGAUAAAUUUGAAAGAAGAGUAAGAGAAAAUGUUUACAGGCCAUUACAAGUCCUUAAGUUAGCAGGAAAAUAAGGAAUCAGUUGCUCAAGUUGAAGAAAGCAGUAAACAAGAUUGCAUUUACAUGCAGAUGUCUAAAAUUUGUAUUUUUUUUAAAAUCUAUGCACAAAAAGUCAUUUGUUUUUAUUGCUUGACAUUCAGUUAUGGCUAGAGUAUUUUUAACCUAUUUUUUUUUUUUUUGUACUUUGGAAACAAGAAUAUUGUUAAAGGUGCCAUAAAAAUGGACAACAUUGAAAAUGGUUUGCAAAUAAACCACCUAACACUGCAGUUCUUUAUACAUUUUAAAAGCCUUGUCUGGGGUUUGUCAUAUGUUAAAUAUAUUUAAAUUGGGAAAAUAUGUUGUAGCUUGAAGCCUCCCAUUGGCCCAAACAUCCAAUACAAAAACACAUCUCCACAAAAGGAGCAGGCAGACAAUACAGGUACAUAGAAAGAAGCAGCCAGCUAAUUUCCUAAUGUUAAAAACACUUACCACUGUUUUACAUGUAGAUUGAAACCAAAACAGAAAAGAGAAUUUGGAGUUUAGAAAGAUGUGUACAGUACAUAUGUAUUUUUGUGAAAUAAAAUUCACUAUAUUGCUUAUGAGUUGCUUGCAUUUACUUAUGCAAUCUGUUCAGUGAUAAUCAGCUCCAAAGAAAAUGUAUUAAUCCAUAUUAAGACUGAUUGGGUUAAUGGGUGGGACACAAUUAGAUGAAGUGCACAAAGAACAAUGAAAGCAUAGAACUGUUUCUUGGAGAAUAUCAUGAUAGUGUAUGGAGAAUGCAAUGUGUUCCAUGAAAAGGUUUCAAGGAAUAACAUAUAAAAGUUUAAUGUGGUACAAUAAUUAAAGCAUAACACUAAAUGCAGAUUAGAAAUACUGACUUUUCUAGUCAUCCACUUAAAACAUUCAUAUGCAGUUUCCACAAUGAAUCCAUAGACCAAUACAUUUUAUGUUGAAUUACCCAAAAAAAAAAUAUUUCCUUUAUGGACUAAAUGUAAUUAUUGCUCUAAGUUUUAGAGGUCAGAUUCCUGCCUCAUAAGUGGGUAUAAGGUUCUUGUAAUCUACAAUGGCAGUUUGGUGCUGAAAGAAGUUAUUAAAUGAAGAGCCCAACAAGAGAUGAUGUCACUAAAGAAAAAUUGAAAAGAAACAACUGCUACAUGGAAAUGUUUGGCCAUUCUACAAUGCAGAUAUAGAUGGAGGAAAGACUUUGUGUGUCUUAAAAUAAGUGAUGGAAAUUAACUCAAUAUUCUAAAACUGCUUUAUAAGGCAGGCAUUGAAGGAUAGAAAAACUUCUACAGAUGGAACAUAUCAUAUCUGUCAUAUGUCCCUAUUGUGUUUCUGAGUGGGAGGAUUUAACUUGUAAUAUGUUUUAAAGACAUUCCAUUAUAUUAUAUUUUGACACUACAGUAGUAAAAAAAUUUUUUCUUAACCGAAAUUUAAUAAGUUAUGCAAUACACACACACACACACACACACACACACACACACACACACAUAUACAUAUAUAUGUGUGUAUAUAUCUGUUCCUGAUUCAGUGGAUAGAUGAAGGUCUCAAAAUAUGCUUAUGUUGGAAUAUUUUGUCUAUAAAGUAUUUAAAGCUUUCUUCUGCAUAUUUAUAUCUAUAGCAAAAAAAUGGAAUAGAGGAAAGAAUUGCAAAAAGGAAGA